rnacentral:rRNA from 1 species
CCUACGGGAGGCAGCAGUGGGGAAUCUUGCGCAAUGGGCGAAAGCCUGACGCAGCAACGCCGCGUGCGGGAAGAAGGCUCUCGGGUUGUAAACCGCUUUCAGCAGGAACGAAAAUGACGGUACUUGCAGAAGAAGGUGCGGCCAACUACGUGCCAGCAGCCGCGGUGACACGUAGGCACCAAGCGUUGUCCGGAUUUAUUGGGCGUAAAGAGCUCGUAGGCGGUUCGGUAAGUCAGGUGUGAAAACUUUGGGCUUAACCCAAAGCCUGCAUCUGAUACUGCCGUGACUAGAGUUCGGUAGGGGAGUGGGGAAUUCCUAGUGUAGCGGUGAAAUGCGCAGAUAUUAGGAGGAACACCGGUGGCGAAGGCGCCACUCUGGGCCGAAACUGACGCUGAGGAGCGAAAGCGUGGGUAGCAAACAGGAUUAGAUACCCUGGUAGUCCACGCCGUAAACGUUGGGCACUAGGUGUGGGUUCCAACCAACGGAAUCCGCGCCGUCGCUAACGCAUUAAGUGCCCCGCCUGGGGAGUACGGCCGCAAGGUUAAAACUUAAAGGAAUUGACGG